GGAGCAGCGCAGACUGUCGCGUCAGCAAUGGCGAGGAAAGUCCGGGCACCACAGGGCUGGUUGCUGGGUAACGCCCAGUGCGCGUGAGCGUGAGGAUAGUGCCACAGAAAUGAAGACCGCCUCGCUUGUCGAGGUAAGGGUGCAACGGUGCGGUAAGAGCGUCACCAGCAGAGUCGAGAGGCUCUGGCUAGGUAAACCCCGCUGAAGGUGCAAGGCGAAGGUAUAACUCAAGGAAAUAGUGGCCCGCUAUCUUGAGUUGCCGAUGCCGCUAGAGGGUGUGGGUAACCACACUCCCAGAUAGAUGACAGUCGAACACAGAACCCGGCUUAUGCGCUGCUCUAACU
rnacentral:RNase_P_RNA from 1 species